UGAGCUGAUGACGGCAGUAAUAGGAAGUGCCAUCAAAGGUGAGAACUGAUGUUUAUGUGCUGAACUGAGU